GCAAGCGCCGGUCGCUUACCGAUGCCUGUCAGUUUAAACGAUUAAAUAUAUUCCUUUUUGUAAGUAUAUUCGUUGAAUAUACGUCAUCUACUUUGUAAAACUUAUUUAAGAGGUUCGAGUUACCAAGCCUCUUUGUAUCGAAACCGUGCCUCUUGCAAUAUAAGUCAUAUAUUGCCUUAUUUCUACAUAUUUAAACACUCCUGAGGGAGUGUUUAUUUUUCUUUAAUUUUAUAUAUACUUUGUAUAUUGCAUUACAAAGUAAUAUAAUAUUUUUCGGUGAACUCAACCUAGGAAUUGUGGCUGAUUUGGGGCUGUUGGAGGCUCCGCUGUUUUGUGAAGGAGAGGCUGCUUGUCCUGUGGCCUGCUGUUACUGCUGGUGCUUUUUGCUGCUUCGCACUGCUUUUAUUUAUUUGUUCACUCAUUGUGACAAUGCGUUCGGGGUUUGCACUAUCCUGCUUAUUUCUUUAUUUAAGUCUAUUACUUAAUUUUAACCGAUGCCAACUCGCCUACAACUAACUUGUAAUAUUUUAUUGCAUGAAUGUUAACUUAAUUGACCAGAUGCUGUCAAGGGCCCACCCCCUGAUUUUUUAUGUUGUAAAUUUUAUAAUUAAAAUUUUAUAAUCUUUAUGAUCAGUUUUAUUAAUGUAACGGUAACUUGGUGGAACGAACACCGUGACAAUAUUCUUAGUGAAAUUAAAAUACAUUAAAAAAAUAUAAUUUAAUUAUUAACGUAUUAAUAAUCGAGAUUAAUAUUUGAAAGCAUUGUCCGAUUUAUUUCCAUUUAGAUUAAAACUUUAAUAAAAUAUGGUACGUAAACGAACCUUUACGUCUUAUAAAUUUCGUUGUUUGACUGUCAUUGAUGUAAUAGCCAAAUAUAGAACAAAUAUUUAGGCGAUCGUCGAUUUACGUUUACCUAUUUACAGAAUAAAUAAAUGUACCUUGAGAUGUAAAAACAUUACUCGGAACAGAUUAUACAUUAAUUUAAAAAAUGUCCCUAAUAAAAGAUAUUGAUUCUUAUACACGUUUAAGGCUGCCUGUCCACCGUAGCGGAGCGAGGCAGCGGAGCGGAGUAACAGAGUAAUGCGGAGCGGAGUUGCAGUCUGUGUAUGUCCACCAGAGCGGAGCUAGAAAGUAAUGCGGAGCGGAGUUGCGGACUAUUUUUCAUACGCGGGGAUAUGAGUACGCGACGAGUUAUUUCGAGCUCUCGGCGGCAAGCGAUUGAUUUAGUGCUACGCGAAAUGUCAGUGACAGCAGACAUGUUGUCGAAACAGUUAAUACGUUAUUACUUUACAUUACUCGAGGCAGAAGAGUUGGAGUCAGAAGAAACAGAAUUAUAUACCAUUUGAACAAUUCUAUAAGGAAACAUAGAUUUUGGUUAAGAAAUCAUAUCAAACAUCGUUCAGAACACAGUGAAUAUUUUACCUUUUUCCAAACUUCGAAACAUUCGAAAAUUCUUAUAGAGCUUUAAGAUGUACUUUUCAUGAACUUAAUGAAGUUUAUGAAAACUCUGAUAGAACAAUAUAUGCAUUUUGUCUUUUUAAGGCAUCUCGAUGGUUAUCUCUUAGUUGUUUCCAUCGCGAUUUUGCAGUUUUCACUGAAACAGUUAACAUACACAAUGUAUUCUAUGGUCUAUUUAUAAAAAAAUAAUAGAUGCACAUACGUUACGUAUAAUUAAAUAGGUUUAUUUUUAGGUAUUUAGCAACCGGUCAGUCAUUUACAACGAUGGGAGAGAAUUUUAAAAUUGGAUUGAAAAGUGUAUCGAGAAUAGUUGAUGAGGUUUGUGAUGCUUUAUGGAAUGUAUUGCAACCUCUUGUUAUGCCGCAACCAACCGAAAAGGACUGGAAAGAAAUCGCAAAAGAUUUUGAUGAACUAUGGCAAUUUAAAAAUUGUACAGGUGCUCUUGAUGGCAAGCACGUAUACAUCAAGGCUCCCUCGAAAACUGGGUCCUCGUUUUUCAACUACAAAAAGAGGUUUUCUGUAGUAUUGAUGUGUUUAGCUGAUGCCAGAAGAAAAAUCAUUAUGAUUGAUGUGGGCUCUAUGGGGAGAUUUUCUGACGCAGGAAUUUUUG